CCUACGGGUGGCAGCAGUGGGGAAUUUUCCGCAAUGGGCGAGAGCCUGACGGAGCAAGACCGCGUGGGGGACGAAGGUUUGUGGAUUGUAAACCCCUUUUGAUAGGGAAGAUGAUGACGGUACCUAUCGAAUCAGCAUCGGCUAACUCCGUGCCAGCAGCCGCGGUAAUACGGAGGAUGCAAGCGUUAUCCGGAAUUAUUGGGCGUAAAGCGUCCGCAGGUGGUUGUUCAAGUCUAUUGUUAAAGAGCGGAGCUAAACUUCGUAAGGGCGAUAGAAACUGGAUAACUAGAGUUUGGUAGGGGUAGCGGGAAUUCCCAGUGUAGCGGUGAAAUGCGUAGAUAUUGGGAAGAACACUGGUGGCGAACGCGCUCUACUGGGCCUGAACUGACACUGAGGGACGAGAGCUAGGGGAGCGAAUGGGAUUAGAUACCCGAGUAGUC
rnacentral:rRNA from 1 species